rnacentral:rRNA from 1 species
AAUGAGAGUUUGAUCCUGGCUCAGGACGAACGCUGGCGGCGUGCCUAAUACAUGCAAGUAGAACGCUGAAGAGAGGAGCUUGCUCUUCUUGGAUGAGUUGCGAACGGGUGAGUAACGCGUAGGUAACCUGCCUUGUAGCGGGGGAUAACUAUUGGAAACGAUAGCUAAUACCGCAUAACAAUGGAUGACACAUGUCAUUUAUUUGAAAGGGGCAAUUGCUCCACUACAAGAUGGACCUGCGUUGUAUUAGCUAGUAGGUGAGGUAACGGCUCACCUAGGCGACGAUACAUAGCCGACCUGAGAGGGUGAUCGGCCACACUGGGACUGAGACACGGCCCAGACUCCUACGGGAGGCAGCAGUAGGGAAUCUUCGGCAAUGGGGGCAACCCUGACCGAGCAACGCCGCGUGAGUGAAGAAGGUUUUCGGAUCGUAAAGCUCUGUUGUAAGUCAAGAACGAGUGUGAGAGUGGAAAGUUCACACUGUGACGGUAGCUUACCAGAAAGGGACGGCUAACUACGUGCCAGCAGCCGCGGUAAUACGUAGGUCCCGAGCGUUGUCCGGAUUUAUUGGGCGUAAAGCGAGCGCAGGCGGUUUGAUAAGUCUGAAGUUAAAGGCUGUGGCUCAACCAUAGUUCGCUUUGGAAACUGUCAAACUUGAGUGCAGAAGGGGAGAGUGGAAUUCCAUGUGUAGCGGUGAAAUGCGUAGAUAUAUGGAGGAACACCGGUGGCGAAAGCGGCUCUCUGGUCUGUAACUGACGCUGAGGCUCGAAAGCGUGGGGAGCGAACAGGAUUAGAUACCCUGGUAGUCCACGCCGUAAACGAUGAGUGCUAGGUGUUGGAUCCUUUCCGGGAUUCAGUGCCGCAGCUAACGCAUUAAGCACUCCGCCUGGGGAGUACGACCGCAAGGUUGAAACUCAAAGGAAUUGACGGGGGCCCGCACAAGCGGUGGAGCAUGUGGUUUAAUUCGAAGCAACGCGAAGAACCUUACCAGGUCUUGACAUCCCGAUGCUAUUUCUAGAGAUAGAAAGUUACUUCGGUACAUCGGUGACAGGUGGUGCAUGGUUGUCGUCAGCUCGUGUCGUGAGAUGUUGGGUUAAGUCCCGCAACGAGCGCAACCCCUAUUGUUAGUUGCCAUCAUUCAGUUGGGCACUCUAGCGAGACUGCCGGUAAUAAACCGGAGGAAGGUGGGGAUGACGUCAAAUCAUCAUGCCCCUUAUGACCUGGGCUACACACGUGCUACAAUGGUUGGUACAACGAGUUGCGAGUCGGUGACGGCAAGCUAAUCUCUUAAAGCCAAUCUCAGUUCGGAUUGUAGGCUGCAACUCGCCUACAUGAAGUCGGAAUCGCUAGUAAUCGCGGAUCAGCACGCCGCGGUGAAUACGUUCCCGGGCCUUGUACACACCGCCCGUCACACCACGAGAGUUUGUAACACCCGAAGUCGGUGAGGUAACCUUUUGGAGCCAGCCGCCUAAGGUGGGAUAGAUGAUUGGGGUGAAGUCGUAACAAGGUAGCCGUAUCGGAAGGUGCGGCUGGAUCACCUCCUU